rnacentral:rRNA from 1 species
UACGUAGGGCGCAAGCGUUGUCCGGAAUUAUUGGGCGUAAAGAGCUCGUAGGCGGUUUGUCGCGUCUGCCGUGAAAGCCCGAGGCUUAACCUCGGGUCUGCGGUGGAUACGGGCAGACUAGAGGUAGGUAGGGGAGAAUGGAAUUCCCGGUGUAGCGGUGAAAUGCGCAGAUAUCGGGAGGAACACCGGUGGCGAAGGCGGUUCUCUGGGCCUUACCUGACGCUGAGACGCGAAAGCGUGGGGAGCGAACAGG